rnacentral:rRNA from 1 species
UACGUAGGGUGCGAGCGUUAAUCGGAAUUACUGGGCGUAAAGCGUGCGCAGGCGGUUUUGUAAGCCAGAUGUGAAAUCCCCGGGCUUAACCUGGGAAUGGCGGUUGAAACUAGAGGACUAGAAUCUGGCAGAGGGGGGUGGAAUUCCACGUGUAGCAGUGAAAUGCGUAGAGAUGUGGAGGAACACCGAUGGCGAAGGCAGCCCCCUGGGCUGAGAUUGACGCUCAGGCACGAAAGCGUGGGGAGCAAACAGG